rnacentral:rRNA from 1 species
CUAGCUAACUGAAAUCAUUAAUUGAACAUAUUCAAUGUGAUGUGGUAAGGGAAAAUAAUGAUAUUACCUUACUUAUAGUGUUGUCUAAGUCUGGUGCCAGAAGACUCGGUAAGGCCAGGAACGCAAACGUUAAUCAUCAUAAACAGGCGUAAAGGGUUCGUAGGCUGCUUUUUUUAGUGAUAAUUAAAGCUAGAAUCAAACAGAAGUUAAAAAGUAUAAUACUUAGAGAAGGGAUUAUAUCCUUAGAACCUAAGGGGAAUACUAAAGGUGUAAACAACUAACUAUAAAUGAUUGACGCUGAGAGACGAAGGUGAGGAUAGGAAAUAGGAUUAGAUNCCCCGGUNCCCCUCUCUGUCAACGAUGAAUCGGUAGUU